rnacentral:lncRNA from 1 species
CAUAUAUAAUAAGUUGGUGAUGAAGUAUCUCCACACACACCACCAAACUAGUCUCCUCACAACCUCAGCUACCACCCUUCUUCACUCUGUCUGUAUUUCUUCUUUUCAUCAUUCUUUCAUUCUCUCUCCCUUAUUAAUAACCCCACCUCUUAUCCACAAUAUCCUUUCAAUCUUCCACACACUCACCUAGCUUACAUAAUUUAUUUUUCACACAAUAAUUAAAACAAAAUUAUAUUAUAUAUAUCAUUUUUAAUAUUCUAGCAUAUUUACCACAAAUUAAUGGAGGAGUCUGGAGAAAAUUGGCCUUUUGAGUCUGAUUUGGUAAAAUACAAUUGUACUCAUCAUCAUCAAUUAUAUAAUACAUAUGUUACACAUAUAUUUUGAAUUAAUCAUGAUCAUAUUAUUGUAUCUCGUGUGUGUUACUUAGAGUGUAACUUAUAUCUAUAAUUAACUCUCUUUUGUUUGUUGUUUUCAUUUUUUUUUUUUUGAUGGAUUUGUUGUUUUCAUUUAUACAUAGGUAAUUGGUGAUGAUGUAAUUUUUGAAGAUGGAGAUCAAUCUGAAUCUGUGUGUGGUGAUAGAGAGAUUAAGGAGAAAUUGAUGGCACUUUCAGCCACCAUAGGCUUAAACAAGGUUAGUAAUUAAAUUUAGCUUAUUAGUACUUAGUUAACAUAUAUAUGUUCAUAUUAACACACACAUACAUGUUUCAAAACAAAAAAAACACACACACAUACAUAUAUAUACACACAAAAAAUUGUGUUGUUUCUUUUUAUAGUUUGUGUGUUCGAUCAAUUAUUCUCCAACUAUUAUUUUUUUGGUACAAUACUCUCCAACUAAUUAACGGUCAUAACAACUAAUAAUGUUUGAAUUGUGUAUUUUUUUUUAUAAUGAAUUGUGUAUCUUUCAAUUUGAAAUUAUUUUGUAGAUAAAGCUUGAUAUAAUUAAAAUUAAUAUCCAAUUAAAGGAAAUAUAGAACUGAUCUAUGAGUUUUAGAUCUCAUACUGAAUUAUCUUCAAUGAACAUUGAUUUUAACUUCUUCUUUAUUAUAGUUUAAGAAUUAAUAUUAAAAAAAAUAAUAUAUAUUGUGUUUAAAUGGUUAAUGAGAUUAGGUUAAUUAAAAUGAAUUGUUUGAGAUAAUUCGAGUUUGAAUCAAUGAUUAUAACAAUAACAAUUCUUAUUUAUAUAUUAACUACAUAUUGGUUGAAUUCUAGACUAUCAAGAUCCUUUCUGAUAACCGGAGAGUUAAAAGAAAAAAAGUAUUACUAUCCUCUAUGCAUGAUAGGGCCAAAAAAAACUUAAGAAAGAUUCAAUAUAAUUAAAAAGUAUUACUAUCUUUUAUUGACCUUAGACGAAAUGAAAAACACCACUAAUAGUAACACAAAAUUGUGAGUCCCCGUAUUCGAACUCUAGAUGAAAGUGUUUGACUUAAAAAUAUCGGUAUUUUCUGGUUGAGUUAGGAAUUUUGAACAUUUAGUUAUAAAUAUUGCAUAUGACUAUUAGGAAUACAUAUUCUUCCUUUUGGGUCAUCACGUGGGGGCAGUCAAUGAACAUUUACAUUGGACUUAAGAAC